GUUUGUAGACAUCCUAUGGAAUUGUAUAUUCUAUACAUUUCACUGCUCAGCUGACCGACUUUAGGGCAUUUGAAAGGUGAUCAAUGAAGGCUCCUUCAUGUGAAUAAGAGGUUUCCCAGCCCCCACGGUAAAAAACUGUGCCAAGGAGACGAGUGAUUUUUGGUGGGCAGAUCUUGGCAUGCUUGGUGCCAAGCCUGAAGGCCAAGUUGAUCCAUCUGCAUUAAAAACAGGUGCCUGGCCGGCUCGCUCUCAGUGGAGCAUAUGACACUUGAUCUUAGGGUUGUGAGUUUGAGCCCGUGUUGGGCGUAGAGCUUACUUUUAAACAAACAAAUAUU